rnacentral:rRNA from 1 species
CGUUUACCGUGAAAAAAUUAGAGUGUUCAAAGCAGGCAGAUCCAAUUUUCUGCCACCGAAUACAUUAGCAUGGGAUAAUGGAAUAGGACCCUGUCCUCCUAUUUUCAGUUGGUUUUGGCAGCGCGAGGACUAGGGUAAUGAUUAAUAGGGAUAGUUGGGGGCAUUAAUAUUUAAUUGUCAGAGGUGAAAUUCUUGGAUUUAUGAAAGAUUAACUUCUGCGAAAGCAUCUGCCAAGGAUGUUUUCAUUAAUCAAGAACGAAAGUUAGGGGAUCGAAGACGAUCAGAUACCGUCGUAGUCUUAACCAUAAACGAUGCCGACCAGCGAUUAGGAGACGUUGAAUACAAAACACCACCAUCGGUUGCGCGGUCGUCCUUGGCGUCUCGGUUUCGGCCGGGGCGCGGGGAUGGCUUAGCCCGGUGGCACCGGUGAAUGACUCCUA